rnacentral:rRNA from 1 species
CAAUAGCGUAUAUUAAAGUUGUUGCGGUUAAAAAGCUCGUAGUUGGAGUUCUGCCAGGUGCCGCCUGUCCGCCCCAGUGGUGAGUACGUGGCGCGCAUUUGGCCCUUUCAAGGGGAGCGUAUCUGCACUUUAUUGUGUGGUGCGGGAUCCUUGACUUUUACUUUGAGGAAAUAGGAGUGUUCCAAGCAGGCUCUCGUCGUGCACAGCUCAGCAUGGAAUAAUAGCAUUGGACCUCGAUUCUAAGCUGUUGGUUGCCAGAAGCGAGGUAAUGAUGAAGAGGGAUAGUUGGGGGCAUUCGUAUUUAACUGUCGGAGGUGAAGUUCUUGGAUUUGUUAAAGACGGACUACUGCGAAAGCAUCUGCCAUGGAUGUUUUCAUUGA